CCUACGGGCGGCAGCAGUGGGGGAUAUUGCACAAUGGGGGAAACCCUGAUGCAGCGACGCCGCGGGGGUGAAGAAGUAUUUCGGUAUGUAAAGCCCUAUCAGCAGGGAAGAAAGAAGACGGUACCUGACUAAGAAGCCCCGGCUAACUACGUGCCAGCAGCCGCGGUAAUACGUAGGGGGCGAGCGUUAUCCGGAUUCACUGGGUGUAAAGGGAGCGUAGACGGCCGUGCAAGCCAGGAGUGAAAGCCCGGGGCCCAACCCCGGGACUGCUCUUGGAACUGUGCGGCUGGAGUGCGGGAGGGGCAGGCGGAAUUCCUGGUGUAGCGGUGAAAUGCGUAGAUAUCAGGAGGAACACCGGCGGCGAAGGCGGCCUGCUGGACCGCGACUGACGUUGAGGCUCGAAAGCGUGGGGAGCGAACAGGAUUAGAUACCCGGGUAGUC
rnacentral:rRNA from 1 species